GACGUAGGAGGCGAGCGUUGUCCGGAUUCAUUGGGCGUAAAGAGCACGCAGGCGGUUUGGCAAGUCGGAUGUGAAAACCCGGAGCUCAACUCCGGACCUGCAUCCGAAACUGCCCGACUAGAGGUAGGUAGGGGAGAUCGGAAUUCCUGGUGUAGCGGUGAAAUGCGCAGAUAUCAGGAGGAACACCGGUGGCGAAGGCGGAUCUCUGGGCCUUACCUGACGCUGGAGGCGCGACAGCGUGGGGAGCAAACAGG
rnacentral:rRNA from 1 species